rnacentral:lncRNA from 1 species
GUGUAAGCCAUGAAGCUUUGGGUCAUCGGCACCGCCAGUUCCCUGUGCUUCUAGCUCUGCAUGAAACCAAGGGCCAUAAAGGUUGGCAAAUUGAACACAAUACUUGGCUGUACCUUCAGCCCUAGACCCGGCUUCAGACUCCGGCUCCGCGAUUCAUCAGCCUUGUGACCUUGCACAAAUCAUUUGCCUUUAUGAAAUAAGUCUCACAUCUGACUGGUGGGCAGGAGAGUGAUGCUUAGGCAAAGCGAUCCUUGAGCUCUGCGAUCCUUGCGCUUAGUGAGGCAGUACUGCCUGUUGUAGGCUGGAACUCAGGCAUGCUUGAUGUGGAAUGGCUGCCCAGUGACCGCGCACACCUUCCUUCCCAGCACUUGGGACACCCAGGCAGGUGGAUCUCUGUAAUUUCAAGGUCAGCCCCCUUCUACUGAGCCAAUUCCAUGACAGCCUGGGCUACAGGGAGAAACACUGUCUCCAAACACACAGACAAGCAACAACAAUGCAAACAAUCAAACAAAUAAAAUUUAAAAAAUUAAAAUUAGAAGAAAAAAAGAAUGCACUGUGGGGUUCCCCGAAGGAUCCCAGUUUCUGUGUCUCCCUGACUAGAAGUCAUGGGCGGAGUCACCUUUCCUUACUCUGUGGUGAU